rnacentral:tRNA from 1 species
CGCGGGGUGGAGCAGUGGCAGCUCGCAAGGCUCAUAACCUUGAGGUCGCAGGUUCGAAUCCUGCCCCCGCAA